CCUACGAGGGGCUGCAGUGGGGAAUAUUGGACAAUGGGGGCAACCCUGAUCCAGCCAUGCCGCGUGUGUGAAGAAGGCCCUCGGGUUGUAAAGCACUUUCAGUGAGGAAGAACGCCUGGUGGUUAAUACCCAUCAGGAAAGACAUCACUCACAGAAGAAGCACCGGCUAACUCCGUGCCAGCAGCCGCGGUAAUACGGAGGGUGCGAGCGUUAAUCGGAAUUACUGGGCGUAAAGCGCGCGUAGGUGGCUUGAUAAGCCGGUUGUGAAAGCCCCGGGCUCAACCUGGGAACGGCAUCCGGAACUGUCAAGCUAGAGUGCAGGAGAGGAAGGUAGAAUUCCCGGUGUAGCGGUGAAAUGCGUAGAGAUCGGGAGGAAUACCAGUGGCGAAGGCGGCCUUCUGGACUGACACUGACACUGAGGUGCGAAAGCGUGGGUAGCAAACAGGAUUAGAUACCCUUGUAGUC
rnacentral:rRNA from 1 species